AAUAUUGGACAAUUGGCGAAAGCCUGAACCAGCCAUGCCGGGUGUGUGAAGAAUGNCUNNGGAUGNUNAAACACUUUAAGGUGNNNNNAAGGGGUUGAGGCUGAUACCUUCAGUAGUUUACGUUCCGAACAGAAGAAGCACCGGACAACUCUGUGCCAGCAGCCGCGGUAAUACGGAGGGUGCAAGCGUUAAUCGGAAUUAGUUGGCGUAAAGCGGGCGUAGGUGGUCCCGUAAGGUGGAAGUUAAAUCCCCGGGCUUAACCUGGGAACUGCUUUUAAAACUGCUGCGCUAGAGUACGGUAGAGGGUAGUGGAAUUUGCUGUGUAGCGGUGAAAUGCGUAGAUAUAGGAAAGAACACCAGUGGCGAAGGCGACUAACUGGACUGAUACUGACACUGAGGUGCGAAAGCGUGGGGAGCAAACA
rnacentral:rRNA from 1 species